AUAAAAAUAAUAAUAAAACAUUACUAAAGAAACUAGCCUUACCAGAUGUCAAGACUUUUUAUGAAGUUCUACUAAUGAAGACAGGUAGUGCUGGUGCAGGCAUAGACAGAAAAUUGAAAAGAAUACAAAGUCCAUGUAACACAUUCUACAACAUUAAGAAUUUCAUUCUUGGAGUUCCCAUCGUGGUGGAGCAGAAACGAAUCCGACCAAGAACCAUGAGGUUGUGGUUUCCAUCCCUGGCCUCACUCAGUGCGUUAAGGAUCUUGUGUCAUCAUGAGCUGUGGUAUAGUUUGCAGAUGCGGCUUGGAUCUGGCAUUGCUGUGGCUCUGGCAUAGGCUGGCAGCUCCAGCUUCAGUUAAACCCCUAGCCUGGGAACCUCCAUAUGCCACGGGUGUGGCCCUAAAAAAAAAACAAAAAACAAACAAACAAAUAAAAACCUUCAUUCUUAUUCAAAAAUUUAAGAAAAAUUAAAAUAGAAUGUUUAAAGGCAACUCACACACUCAGUGCAAUAUAGCAGCACAAAUAAACUGUUAAAGAAUUCAAUUCCAAAAUAUACAAUAUUGUCAUAGGGAUGUGCUUUUACAAAAGAAAAAAAAAUCAUGCCUUUCCCAUAAACAUACAAAAAGUGAUCAACGUCCUUAAUAUUGGUCAGGAAAAUCCAAUUUAAAAUCUCAGUGAGAUACCAUUUUGCACUCACCAGAUUAGUAAUAGUGAUGAUGAUAAUUACGCCUCACUGUACCAAAUUUUAGUUGGAACCUAAGCAAUGCUGUAUCUCAUGCACUGCCAGGUGAAUUACAAAAUGGUGUAGCCCUAUGGAAAUCUGUUUGGGAUUACCUCUAAAGCUGACAAUGCUCUUUUUCUAAGACCCCGUUAUUGUACCCCUAGGUACAGCCAAUCUCAGAGAUCAGGCUUUUUACCACAGAACCAAAGAGUUCUAUUUCACCUUUUUUUGCUUAAGAUCUUUAGGUUUUUUUCAGUUUCUUACACUUAAAAACAAAAGAACCUAAAUAAUACAAUUGGUAGUUUUACUUUGAGCAAAAGAUUUCACUGUCUUUUGUCUCUGUUUGACUCUAUGUGUCAGCUUUCCUUUUUUAUAUCAAUGUCCUCUAGAAGGCAAGAAACAUUGGUGACACCACUCUAGAGUUUCAUAUUUCCAAGCUUCACCACAGACAGGAAUGAAACACUUUGUCCAGAAAGCAAACUUAAAAAUCCCAGAGAAGGGCUCAGUGGACCCAGGCUAAGUCAGUUGCCCAUCCCUGGGCUAAUCAGCUACAAGCUGGUGUGGGCCAGGGGAGUAUCUGUAAGGGGCUCACACCAAGUCAAGCUCCGUUGAUUGAAAGAGAGGAGGUUCCUUCUUACCCCUCAGUACUCAGCUUACAUAUCACCUUCUCAGAUUUGCCUCUCCUAACCACACAAAAGUGGGCGCCUUGCUCUUAUUCUUUCUCAUAUCAUUCUCUCUGUUCUGUUUUGUUUUUCAACACUCACCACAAUAUGUAACUAUUUUAUUUUUAUUCAUUGGCAGAAUAAUGGCCCACCAAAUCCCUAUGCUCUAAUCCUCAGGGCCUAUGAAUAAAUUACCUUACACAACAAAAAGGAACUUUGCAGAGGUGAUUACUGCACCUUGAGUUGGGGAAAUUAUCUUGGUAGCUUCAGUCUAAUCGCAUGGAUCCUUAAAAGCAAAGGACCCUUCCCAGCUGUGUUCAAGGAGAGUUGUGGUGACAAAAGAAGGGUCAAAGGAAUGUGACAUGGGAAGGGCUUGCUCUGACAUUGCUGGCUUUGAUGACAGAGGAAGGGGGCCAUAAUUCAAGAAAUAAAGGUGGCCUGUAGACGUUGGAAAAGGUAAGGAAAUAAAUUUUCUCCUAGAGCCUCCAGAAAGAAACCUUUAACCCCAUGACACCCAUGUCAGAUUUAUGCCCUACAGGAUUGUUAGGGUAAUAAACUCGCACAGUUUUAAGCCAUUAAAUGUGUGGUAAUUUGUUAUGAUCGCAAUAGGAACCCUAUCCCCGGUUAUCGUCUCUUACUAGAAUGUAAUCUUUGGGAGAGAGGAAAUGUGUCUAUUUUUUCCUUUUACCUCCCGUUUGUAGCACAGCACCUUGCAUAAAUUUAUUGAAUGAAUAAGAAGAUGAAUAAAUGAAUGAACUAAGAAAUCUGUACUUCAUAUCCAAAAGUUCAUCUUGCAGUCUUCAUUUGAAGUGUUUGUCUUCCCUCUAUGGAAAUCAUAAAUGUGGAGAAUCAAGUAGAAAAUGCAACCAAUGAUCUCGAGUUUUUCUCUAUGGGUCAGAAGGGAAAACAUUGACUGAGAAAAUGUGAAAAAUGUGCCCUCUUCUGCAAAGAGAGAAGAAUUAUGCCAAGCCAAGAGAACAAUCAAAGAAGCUAGCAAAUCAUAGAUCUGGGACACCACUUACUCUUAUCUGAGCUUUCAGAUAGGAUGUGUUUUCUGUCAGCCGAUAUUUCCUAUUCAAUUUCCAGAAAGAUCCCACUGUCACAGUGUGGUAAAAUACUGGGUCACCCACGUCAACUCCAAAAUGGUCUCUCUUCCGGUGAAGUUAGAUUUUAUGAUUUACACCCAUUAAUGGGAACUAGUAACUUUUCUAGAAGAAAAAUGAUGGCAUGUUCUGAGGAAUGAAUCCUUUUCCAGGCAAUUUGUGUUUGAAGAGAAAGUUCAAACUACUUAUCAGAUAAUUCACUAUGUCUAUAUGGGUUCAGCAAUAGAAUACUUUUAAUACUCAGAACCAACUAGUUAAAACUGGUGUCUUUCUGGAGUUCCCGUCGUGGCGCAGUGGAAACGAUCUGACUAGGAAUCAUGAGGUUGCAGGUUCGAUCCCUGGUCUCACUCAGUAGGUUAAGGAUCUGGCAUUGCCACCAGCUGUGGUGUAGGUCACAGACGCAGCUCAUGGCUCGGAUCCUGCAUUGCUGUGGCUGUAGUGUAGGCCGACAGCUGUAGCUCUGAUUAGACCCCUAGCCUGGGAACUUCCAUAUGCCAUGGCCCUAAAAAGCAAAAACAAACAAACAAACAAAACUAAACAAACAAACAAAAAACUUAUUUACAUAAACAGGCAGCUGGCUGGAUCUGGCCCUAUGGGUUGUCAUUUGGCCUCCCCUGAUCUAGACGACAGAGCUUCAGAUAGCCUGCAAGGGCUCCUUACAUCCCAGUGUGUUCCAGGGGGCCCAGAAUUACACCAUGUCCUGGAGAGCAGCAUGGGAGAUGGAAAGAAGCAUGGAAGAUUCUCUGAGAUUCGAGAGUGUAGCAAGGCACCGUAAAUAGCCAAGUGACCCCUCGGCCCCUACAGGACCUUGCCGGAGGUGGAGAAAUGCCAGGUCCCUCUUACCACAAAGUUUUAGGACCAAGUGAGCCCUUAGAACAGUUACAACCCCCAGCAAAGGAAAGAAGGGGAGGGGAACCCCAGAUUUAUUCUGUUUUCCUACUCUCGCUGAAUGGAAGUGCAAAUAGAAAUUGACUUUUUUUAAAAAGCCAGGUUGAUGUCCUAUUCCUAUGUUUGCAAGAAUGAACUAUUUUACUUUGCUAAUUUGAAAUUUUUUUUUUCACCUUGAAAUCUAGUGCAUAUUCCAUUCUUAGAGCAUGUCCAUAACCCCAUCCGAUACCGGACCACACAGCUUCUCAGUGGAGAACACUGAGUUCUCCUCUUUUCCUCUCUUCUUGGAGAAGUCAGACCAUUCCCCCCAGCCCUGCCUGGACUGACUUUAGAAUGAGCUAAGAAGACAGUUGUUAAAGUAUACAGGCUUCCAGCUGCUGGAGGCCUGGGAGGAGUGGGAGCAAGAAAAGAAUUCAAAAAAAGCCUCUGUUACAGGCAGUGGUGAGCCCAGGAGGACAAAAGACCUCCUGGGAUAACCAUUUGAAGGGAAUUUGAAUAAUUCAGGUUAAUAUCAAGGUCAACGUCUAUGAUCAUUCUAGGAAAACCUGCACCAUGGGUUAAUUAAAAAAUCUAAAUAUAGCAACAUCUCCCAGCCACUACUCACUUUUAAUAAAUCUCAAGUAAAAGAUGGAUAGAGUAGUAAAUCGAUGUUAUUCAAAUAACACAAUUCAUCAAGAAUAACAAACAAAUGGAGUUCCCAUGGUGGCUCAGCAGGUUAAGAACCUGAUAUGGUCUCCAAGAGGAUGCAGGUUCAAUUCCUGACCUUGCUCAGUGGGUUAAGGCUCUGGCACUGCUGCAAGCUGCAGCAUAAGUUAAAGAUGUGGCUCAGAUCUGGCAUUGCUAUGGCUGUGGUGUAGGCCAACAGCUGCAACUACGAUUUGACCCCUAGCCGGAGAACUCUGAUAUGCUGCAAGUGUGGCCA
rnacentral:lncRNA from 1 species